rnacentral:rRNA from 1 species
UACGUAGGGGGCAAGCGUUGUCCGGAUUUAUUGGGCGUAAAGAGCGUGUAGGCGGCCAAGCAGGUCCGCUGUGAAAACUCGAGGCUCAACCUCGAGACGUCGGUGGAAACCGUUUGGCUAGAGUCCGGAAGAGGAGAGUGGAAUUCCCGGUGUAGCGGUGAAAUGCACAGAUAUCGGGAGGAACACCAAUGGCGAAGGCAGCUCGCUGGGACGGUACUGACGCUGAGACGCGAAAGCGUGGGGAGCAAACAGG